rnacentral:rRNA from 1 species
UACGGGGGGGGCAAGCGUUGUUCGGAAUUACUGGGCGUAAAGGGCUCGUAGGCGGCCAACUAAGUCGGACGUGAAAUCCCUCGGCUUAACCGGGGAACUGCGUCUGAUACUGGAUGGCUUGAGAUUGGGAGAGGGAUGCGGAAUUCCAGGUGUAGCGGUGAAAUGCGUAGAUAUCUGGAGGAACACCGGUGGCGAAGGCGGCAUCCUGGACCAACACUGACGCUGAGGAGCGAAAGCCAGGGGAGCAAACGGG